UUGGGAGAGAUUGAGACUGGAGAUACUAAUUUGGAAGUUAUCUACACAUAAUCUUCAAACCAUGGGGCUAGAUGUGAUCAGCUGGGGAGUGAGUAUAGCUGGAGAAGAGGUCCAAGAACUAAGCUCCAGAAUAUUCUGAUUUUUAAGAGUCAGAAAGACAAAAAAAGACACAGCAAGGGAGACAGAAGGAGAGACUAGAAAGGUAGGAGAACCAGGUGAAAGUGGUAACCUAGAACCCAAGGAUUGACUGAUCCACCAAGUCAUUGCCUCUGAGAACUGAGUAAAAAGAGACUGGAGAUUAGAUCGGAGCUCCAAGCUAAGGUCUGCAGAGCACCAGCUUACAGGGAGGUGCUGAAGAGUCCCGGCUGCAGUGCGUCAGGGUGAGUGUGCUGGGGGGUUUGGAUAAGGUUUCACCAAUAAAGUUCUAGGCCACUCUCCUACCUUCAACCAGAUCUGCACUGCUUUUAUCUUUGGGGUUUUCGUGUGAGAUAUCCUUCAAAGAAAGGACUUUACUACUUAAAAUACAAAAACGUUGAAAACUGUUGGAGUACAUUCUACCACUGGGAAAGAGGCAAAAACGUGGACAGGGACCGUCCGUGCAGUGCAGCCCCAAGGAGAAUCUAAAGCUGAGGGUGAAAACCAUAGAGUAAAUCAAGCUUGUCCAACCCGCAGCCCACCGGUGGCAUGCGACCCAGGAUGGCUUUGAAUGUGGCCCAAUACAAAACCAUAAACUUUCUUAAAACAUAAUGGGCUGGCUGCAGUGGCUCACAUCUGUAAUCCCAGUACUUUGGAAGGCUGAGGUGGGUGGAUCACCUGAGGUCAGGAUUUUGAGACCAGCCUGGCCAAUAUGGCGAAAUCCUAUCUCUACUAAAAAUACAAAAAUGGCUGACUCUUUUCGGACUCAGCCCGCCUGCACCCAGGUGAAAUCAACAGCCUUGUUGCUCACCCACAUUGCAGCCCAGGGCUGCUCCCCACCCGCUUCUCCGUGUCUCUACCUUUUUCUUAACCUUGCCUCCUUCACUAUAGGCAAGCUUCCACCCUCCAUUCCUCCUUCUUCUCCCUUAGCCUGUGUUCUUAAGAACUUAAAACCUCUUCAACUCUCGCCUGACCUAAAAUCUAAGCAUCUUAUUUUCUUCUGCAACACCGCUUAGCCCCAAUACAAACUUGACAAUGGCUCUAAAUAGCCAGAAAACGGCACUUUCAAUUUUUCCAUCCUACAAGAUCUAGAUAAUUCUUGUCGUAAAAUGGGCAAAUGGUCUGAGGUGCCUAACGUCCAGGCAUUCUUUUACAUAUCAGUCCCUCCCCUCUGUUCCCAAUGCAACUCAUCCCAAAUCUUCCUUCUUUCCCUUCCGCCUGUCCCCUCAGUCCCAACCCCAAGCAUUGCUGGGUCUUUCUAAUCUUCCUUUUCUACAGACCCAUCUGACCUCUCCCCUCCUCGCCAGGCCGAGCUAGGUCCCAAUUCUUCCUCAGCCUCGGCUCCUCCACCCUAUAAUCCUUUUAUCACCUCCCCUCCUCACACCCAGUCCAGCUUACAGUUUCAUUCCGCAACUAGCCGUCUCCCACCUGCCCAGCAAUUUCCUCUUAAAAAGGUGGCUGGAGCUAAAGGCAUAGUCAAGGUUGAUGCUCCUUUUUCUUUAUCCGACCUCUCCCAAAUCAGUUAGCGUUUAGGCUCUUUCAUCAAAUAUAAAAACCCAGCCCAGCUCACGGCUCAUUUGGCAGCAGCCCUGAGACGCUUUACAGCCCUAGACCCUGAAAGGUCAAAAGGCCGUCUUAUUCUCAAUAUACAUUUUAUUUUUUACCCAAUCUGCUCCCGACAUUAAAUAAAUCUCCAAAAAUUAAAUUCCAGCCCUCAAACCCCACAACAGGACUUAAUUAACCUCACCUUCAAGGUGAACAAUAAUAGAGUAGCAGCAGCCAAGUAGCAACAUAUUUCUGUGUUGCAAUUCCUUGCCUCCACUGUGAGCCAAACCCCAGCCACAUCUCCAGCACACAAGAACUUCCAAACGCCUGACGGCAGCUGCAAGGCGUUCCUCCAGAACCUCCUCCCACAAGAGCUUGCUACAAGUGCAAGAAAUCUGGCCACUGGGUCAAGGAAUGCCCACAGCCCAGGAUUCCUCCCAAGCUGUGUCCCAUCUGUGCCACUGAAAAUCGGACUGUUCAACUCACCUAGCAGCCACUCCCAGAGGCCCUGGAACUCUGGCCCAAGGCUCUCUGACUCCUUCCCAGAUCUUCUCGGCUUAGCAGCUGAAGACUGAGACUGCCCGAUUGCCUCGAAAGCCUACAGGACCAUCACAGACUCUCUGGGUAACUCACAGUGGAAGCCCCUUGGAACACAGCAGUAGCUUUACACAAUGCUAUCUGCCCCUUGCAACAAAGCAGUAAUUUCACUACUUGAGGGAUGGAAAAGAUGUACCAUAAAAGACACAGAGGCGAUAGACAAAAGGGAAGUAAGAUUCAGGUCUUGCACAGAAACUGAGCCUUGAUUUUCCGCAGAAUAUACUGUGACCAAGCCUCCUGCAGGGCUGCCUGUACGUUAAAGAAAUGGAAGCGUCUUGAAUCGUGUCCAUCGUCCCUCCUUUACACAAAGUAAUCACCUCCAGCUGGGCCAAGUUGAUUGAGGAAACGUUCAGUUUUCACAUGAUUUUGCUGUAGCACCAUAAUGAAUGUAUUUCUUUGAUGGAAGAAAGAAGCUUCAUGAAAUAAACUGCUUAAGGAUUUGAAGUUGGAGCUGAAAACAUGGGCUGCUUUGUUCUUAAUGACAACUGCUUUGCCAUCUAAAACAUUUCUCCUUUUUGAAGGAUCUGUCUUUUCUCUUCCAGCCACAACCCUCGAGCUACAAUAACAGGCUCAUGAUUUUUUUAGAUGCCAAGGUUAUGAAUACUCUUUUAUGAAUAUUUUCCUUUGAACUCAUUUCUCUUGAAGAAGAAAAAUAGCCCUACAUAUUGCAGGAUUGACAAUAACAGACAAAACGUACAAAUUGUUCUCUUAGGGGCAGUAAAAUGCUCCAAAAUGCACAUAGAAAAAUUCCAAAUGCAACCUGAUGUUUAUGGAGCACUGCCUUUGCAGCUAUAAUUUUUAGAAAGUAAUAUUUCUGACUGACAUGAAUUAUACAGAGCAUAUUUCAGAGACUAAUAUCAGGUUAAUGCCUUAAAAUGUCUCCGUUUAUGACAUCAUGGCUGCUUUUCCUAUAUCAGUGCAAACUCUUAGUGAGUAGAAUUUGAGGAUAUGUCUUUUCAAAGGAAGAAAACCUUCACUGAAUUAAGCUGCUUAUGGUUUUAUUUUUUCUUUUAUCCCAUUUCAACAUAUCCACCAACCUCCUCUAAAAAUAAUUCAACUAAUGUGAACUCAACAGAUUAUAGUAGAUCUCUUAUUAAUUUCAUUUUGCCUCCAAAGGAGCUUAUCAUUUAGGCUUAUAAUUAUGUAUGCAGUACUGUCGACUAAUGUUUAGGUUCCUCAUUAAAACUUCAUUUCAUUCUGUUUUAAUAUCAUCAGUCUGUUAGACCAUUUAUUUUCUCAUGUUAAAAAAUAUGUGUUUUCCCUGAACUCUUUCCAUAUGUUUUCUCUCAUCCAAAAAAUCCAGAAAACUCAGCUCCCUUUAAUCCUGCUUUGUGGCUUAGAUACUUUAGCCUGGAACCACUCGUGUUGAUUUGUAUAUACCCACACUUACGCAAAAAUAGCCUUCACUACGGCAGAGUAAUCAUUCUGCAUAGAAAUUAUGUGUCUCUGAAGCCUAUGUUGUCAGGUGAAUCGUGGCAGCAAUGACCUAAGAAUGCAUCCCCAGUUUGAAAUGACCUAUAAAAAUUUCAAGAUACAACUAUUGCUUUGCAUUUGGCAUCGGGAAUAUUCUGUAUAGUUCUUUUCAUGUAAAUGGGCAAUAUUCUAGAAUGGUUCCCAAGUAUAAGCUUUAGAGCUAGACUUCUUGGGUACAACUCCCACUAUUACCACUUACUAGUUAUGUAAUAUUGGAAAAUACACUUAACUACUCUGAGCAUCAUAAAGUAAGCUUACUAACA
rnacentral:lncRNA from 1 species